AAAUAAAUCUCCAAGAGGAUACUUUCCUCAUAUCACAUUUAUCUACCGCAAGCUUUUGAUGGAUACAAUUAGAAAAAUCACUAGACACGAGUACCAUGGAAAGAAAGAAAUCUAUGCACCAGCUAUGAUUUACUCCUGAUCUCUGCAGCUGCAAAUUUAACUUAAGCUGAAAUAGUUAAUCUUGAAAAGCCCAUUGAUUUUCCCUACGAAUCCAUUCUUCUUCAUCAGGGGUCAAUUGGUUUUUAACAGGGAACAUCUCGAUGAUCUCAUCUGGUGUCUUACCUUUAAUCCAGUCCGCCACUUUCUGUACUGUCAAGUACGACAAGCCCUUUAUUUCGAGAACUUUGGCAGCCUGGAUCAUGUCAAACAAUAUAGGGGGCAAUAUAUUUUGGUUUGCGUUAUCAAGAUUCACAAACUGUGCAUCCCAAAUCUUUUUAUCUUCAUCGCUAGUCUCAACCUCAGCGUGUUUGUUGAGGUAUUCGAUUACCUUUGCCAAGACAUUGGCGGUGAUGGUAGUCGUCACAGGGAUAUUCUCAUCACUUGGGUUAUCAGCGAUCAUGUGCUCAAGGGUUUUAGAUUGCAAAGCAGUGGCCUCCUCGAUAACAAACAUCUGUUCGUCACAACUCUUCAAAGUAAUCGUCUUCGCCGACAUGGUGAUGAUCGGAAAUUUGUUUGUAACUCGUACCUUCUCGAUGAAUGGGGAAUUGGUGGUGAAUUGCAGAAGAAGACCUAAAGGUCUGUAUUUAUACCGGUAUCUACUUCUAUUUGCUGGAUUUCUUUUUCCGAUCGGGAUUCUAUACUUGAGUUGGAUUCGGGUUCGGUAAAUAAAUAAAGUAUGACAAAUAGCAGAGGCCCUGGGCUCGCAUCCUACAACAAAGGUGAUCUGGACCGUCCAAUUUUUAUUUUGAUUUAUUGUUGAAACGGUUCAAUGUGAAUAUAUUGAAAUGCUUAAUGAUUUCUGAGAUAAUCUUUCUCAAUGAAAUUUGAAUCCCAAACAUAAAUCUGAGAAUCAAACAAACAAUCGGUUCAAUUUGAUUCAACUUGAAAACCUAAAUCGUUUUCAUCAGUACCUUCGUUGACGAUUAAUCAAUCCAGGGGAAAACUAGAUGAGAUUCAAAUUAAAUUAUUGAAGAGCUCAUCCUUGAAAGCGACUGGAAACGUAAGUGUAAUCUAUUCUUAUCAUUUGAAUUUGAUCGCAGCUGUUAAAUUAUCGAUUCAGAAUCGAUUUCAGAAAAAAAAUUACGAUUUGAAUUCAAUUCUAGUUUCUCAUUCAAUCUAUGAGUUUAGAUACAUAUCGUUGUUUGGGAAAAUGUUGCUUAUGUUUGUUUUUUUUUAAUCAGAUUUUAUUAGUAAAUUUUCUUCUGUUCACCAUCCUCAAAAACCAUCGCUCCUUUAUUGGAGAAUUCAAAGAUAGAAAGAGAGUUAUAUGUCAGUGUGAUCACUGUAGAGCUCAUUGAAUUACUGAAAAUGUUUUACAUGUUAUUUUUAUUUUGGUUUAUUGUUGAAACGGUUCAAUGUGAAUAUAUUGAAAUGCUUAAUGAUUUCUGAGAUAAUCCGUUGAUUAGAACAUAACUCAAAAUGCAUUAAACUGCUUAGUGAAUUUUCGUCAUUAUUGAAUAGGAUCAUUGUGUUACAUUGUGCUUAACGAAUUCUGAGAUGAUAUAUUGAUCAGAGAAGAACUCAUAAUACAUUUGCUGGCCCAUAGUUCAUGAUUCCUAUUUAGGCAUUAAGGAGGGAACUCGAAACACUGAGCACCAUCAAUUUGUAAUUUGUGUAACCUUUCAUUUCUCCAGUCUCUCCCCUUUCUGGUUUAAUAGAAUAUGUACUAUUAGAAAUGCUGCGUAUAAAGGUUUGUCACAAGCUUUACUAAUCAUCUUAAAUAAUGUUUUCCUGUCAGAGGGUGACCGACAUGGCAUCCUUUGCGGAAGAUGUGCAUCUUUUGGCAAGUGCAAGCAUAGACGGAAGGGUUUUUGUAUGGGAGAUUAAGGACGGCACUAAUGAAAAACAUAAGCCACGAAUAACAUGGGAAAUGGUCACCCUCCAUCCAGAUAAUGGGCGAGGGGAAUUAGUUCAUCCAUGAGUUUGCUGGCACUCCCAUAAACAAGUAAUGUCAUGCCUUUAGAACCUAAUUAUGUAUUCCUGAAACUGCAAUGGUGUUUCAAAAUCUUCUUUUCAGGAUUUGGGAUCUUUUAACAAAAUGCUCUACUGCUUACUUUAGCUAGGAAGUUUUGAGUAUUUGCCUUUGAUUUAGUAUAAAUAAUACUAGUGAUCGAUAGUUCUACGUUGCCUUAUAGCAGGAGUGCAUGUCUUGUAUCAAAGUUGUUUGGUUGAAUGCUUAAUGAGGUAAGUCAUGUUGUCUUACAUAUAUGAAUUAUUCAAUUUCUUAGAAAAUCAUCUAGCUGAAAUUUUCUUUUCUUUUACUUAUUGAACUUUGGUAAUGAACCAGUAAAGAGCUGACGUUUGCGCUAUUUCCCAUCCUAGAAAAUCAACUCAUUUUAAUUACUGGAUAAUGUAUAUAGUCUUGGGACCUCUAUCAUGGUUAUUGUGUGCAUAAUUUUGGAUCCAAAACUAAUUGGAGAAAUUAGACACAUACUGUCAGGGGCUAUAUAUUAGGUUCAUUUCCAAGUAAUUUUUUUCAAUGGUGAAGUAUUUGCACUUACCGGUCAUGAGCAUAUAUAUAUAUAGUAAAAAAAAAAUCUGGGACAAAUAGGGAUAGUCAGUAGUUAGUCGAAAUGCAUCAGGUGAAGAGGUCGUUACAGAAGCAAAAGUGGUAGUUAAUGCUGCUGGACCAUUAUUUGAUUCGGUAAGGAAAAUGGUCGACAAAGAUGCACCAACUAAUGAAUAAUAGAAUAUGUCUGCUAUUAUCUAAUUGGUUAGCUGUUCUAGAUGUCCUUGGGUGUUGAGGAGUGGACACGCCCUGUGUCAUCUUUUGUUUCUCAAUUUCUUAGCUUGAUUUUGAUUCUAUUAAAAGAUUUAUAGGUAUGUGACGUUUAGGUAGCCUAUGUAACUAAAAUAUUUCAAUAUAUCCUAGCUGUCCGUCAAACUGCAUCAGGUGAAGAUUUUGUUACAUACGCAAAAGUGGUAGUUAAUGCUGCUGGACCAUUAUGUGAUUCGGUAAGGAAAAUGGUCGACAAAGAUGCACCAACUAUGAUCUGUCCCAGCAGUGGUGUACAUAUUGGUGCACCUAUACGCAAUGCAAGUGUACAUAUUGGUGCACCUGUACGCAGUGCAAGUGUACAUAUUGGUGCACCUGUACGUAAUCCAAGUUUACAUUUUUACAUCUUAGUUCGGUAAGAUAAUAUUACUUUGUUGGUUCGUAGUCCAUUUGAUUUAGUUGAGUUUGAGUUAUGCAGGUCAAUUGUUAGAUGCAUGAGUAUAUGCAGGUCAAAUUGUUACAUUGUUUUUCUAGGGUCUUCAUUUUGUACUGAUUAAUCUGGUUUAUCUGUGUUUGUAAUUUAGGAGUCUUAAUUUGUUUUUAAGGAUAUAAUUGUGAAGCUGUGUCGUGGGCAGGAAUUGAGAUUGAGGGUGAUAAGCACGUUGGUGCUACAUUUUAUACCCAUAUUUAUAUUUGUUAGGACUUGAUAUUUUGGCUAACAACACUAUUUUAGUGCUUUUGUAGAAAGUACAGGUGAAUUGGAUCAUCCCAAGAUAAAGAUCUAAAAGAGCAUUUGCGACUAAAUCUACCAAAAAGGCCGUUCAGAGCACUACUUAACAAUUUGCGUUAGCACUACUUUAUCCACUCACGACCAGGGAUGGACAAAUGAUCUUUGUCUUGUUCAAGCACGUCAAUAUUACUUCAAGCUAGCACGUCAAUUCUACUAUGGACAAUAUGUUAAUGGUAUAACAAGGUUUGAUGGACGUGGUGUUGUUAGGUCAACUGAGUGGUGGCCAACAGACGUCAUUUGUUACAUAUACAGCUAGAAUUCGUAAAUCGGUGGGACUGAGCACAUGCAGUAGAUCCCAUGUUUCUAAUGAAAAUAAAUAUAUAUCUCUUUUAGUAUGGAAGUCCACACGGCAGACUAUCAUUGGUGGCUUUGUAGUUUCAUGACACAUGGUGUAUUUUUAUUGGGGAAGACAUAAUUGGUGACAGAGGAGGAUCUCGCUGUUAUUUUGGGUAGUGGGAGAAAUUCAUUUUCCGUAGGCCUGGGGUGUUGAGUUUAGGGAGGCCGGCGGACGGAAGAGCUGUAGGGUUUUCUGUUAGUGACAGAGACGGAGAGAAGAUUGGCGGCCGCUGAGGCAAGCAUAAAAACAAGAGACGACGAAGACAACUUGGGUUUGAUCGUUUAUUUCUUUUGUUAUCAUUUCAUGGGUUUAAGAAACCCUUAACCAUGUCUUGCUAGAAUUUUAUGUAACUAGGGUUUAUGAUGGAAACUACUUGGGGUAUUAGGAUAUUUGAUUUGAAUAAUUGAGCAAAGACCAUUAUGAUUUGAAUAGAUUGAUUUUCGAGUAUUGUUUAUUGA